rnacentral:rRNA from 1 species
AUGUGUACUUCGAACAUUGAAAAGGUGAUAUACCUGAUAGUGCUACAAGGUCCGUUUUAUCCAGUCCUUGCCUUCCGAAGAAUUUUACAAGACGAUGCAGUGUUGCAUUGGGUGGAGGCAGGUUCUUAUUUGCUAGCUUCAUAUAUGCUGUCUUUGAAUCCCUCCUUCCCAGCGGGAGUUCCCAGUAUGGCCCACCACUCUGUCAUAUCAAAUAUGUGUAACAACAUCACAACCACAUAUUUAAUCGAGGACAUCAGUAGUUUUCAGUCUUCUAUUCCUCUUAAAUACGAUAACCUAAAGUAG